rnacentral:rRNA from 1 species
AACGAACGCUGGCGGCGUGCCUAACACAUGCAAGUCGAGCGAGAAAGCCCGCAAGGGUGAGUAAAGCGGCGCACGGGUGCGUAACACGUGGGUAAUCUGCCCUGAGGUCCGGAAUAACUCGCCGAAAGGCGUGCUAAUGCCGGAUGAGACCACGGGAGCCUCGGCUCCUGCGGGAAAAGGUGGCCUCUGUAUACAAGCUAUCGCUUCAGGAUGAGCCCGCGGCCCAUCAGCUAGUUGGCGGGGUACUGGCCCACCAAGGCUACGACGGGUAGCUGGUCUGAGAGGACGAUCAGCCACGCUGGAACUGAGACACGGUCCAGACUCCUACGGGAGGCAGCAGUGGGGAAUCUUGCGCAAUGGGCGAAAGCCUGACGCAGCAACGCCGCGCGUGUGAUGAAGGUCUUCGGAUCGUAAAGCACUGUCGCGAGGGACGAAUAAGGGGCGGGCCAACACCCCGCUCCGAUGACGGUACCUCGAGAGGAAGCACCGGCUAACUCUGUGCCAGCAGCCGCGGUAAUAC